UUUUUUCACACACUAAUUGGUGUAGAGUCUCAUCUCUCCUCUGCAGGUGGGCGUGCCUGGAAGUGGGGAGGCUGCAGGUAAUCUGCUGAUUAGCUGGCCAGGGAUAUUUAAGCUCCUGAGAGACGCCUUCACUUCGCUGGAUGAUUAACUCAACUUGGGUAUUUCUCCUAACAGCCAAAUCCAAACUAAGUUUAGAUUUUGAGAAUUUCUGGGUUAUGGAUUUUUGAUUUUUGAGCUUUCUGUGUUUUUGACUGCUUGUUUUGCCUCCUGCAGAUAUCACCUAUCAGUUCACCUCGUUUGCUACUACCAACCUGGUUUCUUCACUGUCCACUCGUCUCUCAGCGUCCUCCUCUGGUCUUCCCACUCCAGGCUGCCCACCCUCCCUCCUGGAUCACCAUUACCCUUCAUGCUCAGCUCCCUCCUCAUUUGGACUCCAAGCUCAUCAGCCUCCAGUAAGCCUCCUGCCCUCCCCAGACCGGUCACUCCUCCCUCUCUCACGAGGUCUCACCUCCAACCUGAUUCUCCACACCCGAACCUCGCUUCUCUGCCGAAUACUGCUAGACUUCCUAGCAGCUCCUUCUGUUCUCCUUUUCUAAUAAAUUAUUGUUUGCGAUCUUC